AAGGGGAGUGGCAGACGGGUGAGUAACGCGUGGGAACAUACCCUUUCCUGCGGAAUAGCUCCGGGAAACUGGAAUUAAUACCGCAUACGCCCUACGGGGGAAAGAUUUAUCGGGGAAGGAUUGGCCCGCGUUGGAUUAGCUAGUUGGUGGGGUAAAGGCCUACCAAGGCGACGAUCCAUAGCUGGUCUGAGAGGAUGAUCAGCCACAUUGGGACUGAGACACGGCCCAAACUCCUACGGGAGGCAGCAGUGGGGAAUAUUGGACAAUGGGCGCAAGCCUGAUCCAGCCAUGCCGCGUGAGUGAUGAAGGCCUUAGGGUUGUAAAGCUCUUUCACCGAUGAAGAUAAUGACGGUAGUCGGAGAAGAAGCCCCGGCUAACUUCGUGCCAGCAGCCGCGGUAAUACGAAGGGGGCUAGCGUUGUUCGGAAUUACUGGGCGUAAAGCGCACGUAGGCGGAUAUUUAAGUCAGGGGUGAAAUCCCGCAGCUCAACUGCGGAACUGCCUUUGAUACUGGGUAUCUUGAGUAUGGAAGAGGU
rnacentral:rRNA from 1 species